rnacentral:tRNA from 1 species
GCCCCCAUAGCUCAGGGGAUAGAGCACCGGUCUCCGGAACCGGGUGCGCAGGUUCGAAUCCUGCUGGGGGCA